AGGAAACUGCAUUAUCAAUUAUGCGGGGAAUUUUAGGUCAACACCAUAUCAAAUGGAAGACAACCUUGUAGAGGAUCGGAAAUACCGCUCGAGAAUCGGGUUAACAGGGGUCAUGGACAACGCUGCUGGCAACUUGAGGGGAAGCAAAAUCUGUCGAGUCGUGCAAACUGCUGCAAAUAACGCGCCUAUAACUCGAGGGAGGCAAUUGCAAACUCAGCUGGGUUACCAACAAAACCCAGAUGGAGAUGCUGAAAUGCUGCUGGAGAAUAAACAGAGGUC
rnacentral:lncRNA from 1 species